rnacentral:rRNA from 1 species
UACGUAGGGUGCGAGCGUUAAUCGGAAUUACUGGGCGUAAAGCGUGCGCAGGCGGUUAUGUAAGACAGAUGUGAAAUCCCCGGGCUCAACCUGGGACCUGCAUUUGUGACUGCAUAGCUAGAGUACGGUAGAGGGGGAUGGAAUUCCGCGUGUAGCAGUGAAAUGCGCAGAUAUGCGGAGGAACACCGAUGGCGAAGGCAAUCCCCUGGGCCUGCACUGACGCUCAUGCACGAAAGCGUGGGGAGCAAACAGG